rnacentral:lncRNA from 1 species
UCGAUCUGUUCAUUAAAUCUUGCCACGAGUGUCCUUGCAUCCUUUUUUGGCAUCACCGACUCAUCCUCUUCCACUUCAGUCUCACAGAAUGUACAGCGGAAAGUUCCUGCCCUGGGGUCAAAGAGCUGUUUGGCCUCCAAGUCUGUGAAAGUACUGAAGCAAAUGGGGCAUUUAAAAGAGGCGCGAUUGGUGGAGUCUCUCUCGUCUGUCUC